CCUACGGGUGGCAGCAGUGGGGAAUAUUGGACAAUGGGCGAAAGCCUGAUCCAGCCAUGCCGCGUGUGUGAAGAAGGCCUUCGGGUUGUAAAGCACUUUCAGUGGGGAAGAAAGCCUUGGGGCUAAUACCCUCGAGGAAGGACAUCACCCACAGAAGAAGCACCGGCUAACUCCGUGCCAGCAGCCGCGGUAAUACGGAGGGUGCGAGCGUUAAUCGGAAUUACUGGGCGUAAAGCGCGCGUAGGCGGUCUGAUAAGCCGGUUGUGAAAGCCCCGGGCUCAACCUGGGAACGGCAUCCGGAACUGUCAGGCUAGGGUGCAGGAGAGGAAGGUAGAAUUCCCGGUGUAGCGGUGAAAUGCGUAGAGAUCGGGAGGAAUACCAGUGGCGAAGGCGGCCUUCUGGACUGACACUGACGCUGAGGUGCGAAAGCGUGGGUAGCAAACAGGAUUAGAUACCCGUGUAGUC
rnacentral:rRNA from 1 species